rnacentral:lncRNA from 1 species
AUUUGUAUUUAUUGUAUCAAUCAAUCAAUCAACAUGGGCAGUAGACAGGCUUCUCCUAGACUAUAUGCUCAUCAAGGCAUGAUAGAUGGAACACUGACUCUGGAGUCUUUCUCUAAAGUCAGGUUCAAAUCCUGUCUUUGACAUUUACUACCUAUGUGACCUUGGAAACUGACUUUGACCCUUCGAGCCUCAGUUUCCUCAUCUGUAAAAUGAGAAGGGUUGACCUAGAUAGUCUCUGAGGUCCCUUCCAGGUCUAGAUCUAAGAUCUAUGAGGGCAGAGACUAUCUCUUAAUACAUUUUUAUAACUCCAGAACCUAACCCAGGUCUUCCUAAAUGGUAGGUGAUUAUUAAAUGUUUGUUGAAUUGGACUGAGUACAAAUCUUAUAGAAACAGGAAUUUAGAAGAGAGGGAGAUUAACGAGGGCAGUCAUAGUCCUUUAUGGAGGAGGGAAGGCUUAAAGGAUGGCUACCUGUCAACUGCAUCUAGAGCUUGUGCACAGAUUAGAAAUCAUAUCCAUAAAAUGCUUAUGACAGGCAAGUGAUGAAUGCAAGGUGUCAUUAUUUAUAAAUUCAAAGCAUUCUGUGGUUGUUAUUUCUUGAUUAAUAAUUUCCUGUAUGCUUGGGUGUCUAUAAAUGCCUGCAUCUCCUCAUCUACUUUUCCUGUUCUCCCAGCACCUCCCGCUUCAUCUUCAAAGGCCCACGCUUUUGACUUGCAGAAGAAUGGGACAAUUAGCACUGGACUCCGCCAACCUUGGCACCCCUAGGAAGAAGACUAUUUAAUAUCUUAGGACUUAAAGUAAGGAAGCAAAACCUGAGCUGAUAUGGGGAUUAUUGAAUUUUGUCAUCCUCCAAAUUGGGUACCCCAGCUUCCUGUGGCCCCUGGGAUCUGUGGAUAGCUGUUGGUGAUCAUGGUAGAGAGUCUCUUCAUAUCCUGCUGGAUUUAUGCUCUGGAGUACCCUGUUCCAAACCGGCCGUACACAUAGAUAUCAUCUGUUAUUCUAUGAUAAACUGAAUUGUGCCUAGGAGUUUAAUUCUUCCUUGUGGCUUUAUAUUUAAGAGGUGACUUCUAUAGAGACAAAAACAACCCUAAAGAAUAAUUUUGAAAAAAAAAAAGCUUCUUUUUGUCUUACAGCUUGUUCAUUACUCCCUCCUAUGCCCCAAUCCCAUGGAAAUCUUUCCUUUAUUACAUAAGUAUAGUUAAGGAAAUAUAUAAACACAU